GUUCUGUUGCAGUGUGUGCAAACCUUUCUAUUACCAUUGUGACUGACCUUUUUUUCAUUCUGAUUGGGAAAACCAUGUUUCUUAAAACACACACUAUCAUUAUGACCAUUCUUGCCACAAAAAGAACAAACAACAGAAGACUGCACAUUACUCUUCUUUACCAUGGGUUGAACAUUCUUUAUAUUAGCAAUCAAAGCAUUACUACUCAAUUGUCGCUCUUGUUGAGCUACUAAAGAAAAGAUUUUUGAUAUAGG
rnacentral:lncRNA from 1 species